rnacentral:lncRNA from 1 species
UUCCCUUUUUACAUGCUAGCAUGGUUUGAAAUUCCUGCUAGCCAUAUGGGCAGUUCAAAGAGCAGACUGCCAGGUGCCAUUCACUGAAAAAUAACUAAAGUGCGGUCAGGGAGGCAGAAUGUGCUAAAACACAGAAGAACCAGGAAAGCCACACCACACACGGCAGGAAGAACACAACCUGCAACCACUGCUCAGCAUGGCCCUCCUUGCUCUCUGUUAGAAAGUCAGUGUUGAUAUUGGAGAAGUACUGGAAACGCCUACCCACUUCAAUGUGGACAAAAGGGUUUGCAAAUAACUUUGUUUCUUCUUCCUUUUUCAGCAGAAGAUGGUCUUAGAGGAGGAAUCCUGUCACCUUUGUGUAAAAGGCCUUGUGAUUUCUUUGUGAGGGGCUGCCUUGAAGAACAGUCCCACAAGCAAGAAGAGCAAAAAGGACAGGGUUGGGCUUCAAAAAGAGUUAUUGAUAAGGCUUAACUCACUGAGGUUCCUGAUGCCAGGGAUAAGCCAGUGAUCCGUUUAAGAUAAUUAGGGCAGUUUCUCAAUAGCCAGAGGCUUACUUCUUAGAAAAUAAGAGACUGUGUUUGCUUACCUUGCUUAGCCCGGUGAUUAGAAACCUUGACGUUUAGACAGGCCGAGCUGCCUUCGGUGCCAGACAGUCCUGGCAAAAGAUAAAGAGCAUCAUGUCCUGGACAAGCCUUCCAAGGCUUCAGGCUCUGUCACAGCAGCAUUCCCACCACGGCUUCCACCUGCCAAGGGGUCAAGAAAAAAAGCCUUUAAACGAUAACUGAUCUCUGGAUCGACAGCGAUGCAUCAGAAGCGGUUCCUGAAGUGGCUCUCUUUAUUUUUCACUUUGAAAACUCUGCUUUCUGAGCAUGGUCUGUGCUGAGUCGGGGAGGAGAAAGACGGAUGCAGAAAUGCCAGGGAACCCGCAAGGUGGGGGCACUGCUCUGUGACUGUGCGCAGUCCUUAGUUGCGACGUGUACCUGGUUUUUUAAUCAGCGGGGGGAAAGAGCAACACCUGAUCUCACUAAGAGCGUAGGCGCUCACGAAGGCAGCUCUCAGAGCCCUUGCCUACACGGCAACGAGCUGAACUUCCUCCCCGUUGCCGGAGCCCCGGUGAGGCCCUGGGCCAGCGAGGCAGAGUUUUCUGGAAGAAGAAUGAGGGCUAGCUCUUCGGAGAUCACAGCAGAAGAACGAUGUUGUCAGGAGAAGGGAGGAAGCGGUCAAGAGAAGCCACGGUAGUCUCCAGAAAAGAAUCUGGUACAGGCAAGCAUCUUCAUCCUUCUCGAUCUCUAACACGAAGUUGAGGAAUCUCCUUUUCACCUCCUUCUAACUAACCAAGGAGAGGCGCUCUUUAUUUUGUGUUCCCACUUUAAUGAGGAAGAAGAAGAAAAACCAUCAAAAGAAGGAAGAAAUGCAAAAAUGUCUGAAGUUUGAAACCUUGUAAGUCUUACUUUAAAAUGGAGAUGCAAAUGAUUUUUAAAAAAUCGUUUGUAAAAGCAGUUCAGUCAAACGCCAGGUAAGUCGGAGGGUAUUUUGAAAGAAUGCCAGAUCCUUGUUUAUUUCUGGUUCUCCUUUCUGACUGUAGAGGGUUACUUAUUUUCUCUCAUACAGUGUUUCCAGUGUGGCCUGGUGGUGGUAGUUAUGCUUCAGUUAUCUUUUGUCCACAUAAUCUCCUUAGUUUUCUUAAAAGUUAUUACAAUAAAGUACUGGAAAUGUUAGCUGAAAUACGUACU